CCAGUUGACCGGGUGGCCGCUGGCAUGGAGGUAACUCCAUGCCGGAGGAAAGUCCGGGCUCCAUCGAAACACGGUGACGGCUAACAGCCGCCGGGGGCGACCCCAGGGAAAGUGCCACAGAAAGCAAACCGCUCCGGCUUGCCGGAGUAAGGAUGAAAGGGUGCGGUAAGAGCGCACCGGGCGUCUGGCGACAGAGGCCGCACGGUAAACCCCACCGGGAGCAAGACCAAAUAGGGAUGACGCGGAGCCUCGGCUCCAGCCUGUUUCGAGGCCAUGUCGUCCGGGUUGGUUGCACGAGCGCGCCGGCAACGGCCGCCUCAGAUGAAUGGUCACCACGUCGCGCAAGCGGCCCUACAGAACCCGGCUUACAGGUCAACUGGCGUU
rnacentral:RNase_P_RNA from 3 species